rnacentral:misc_RNA from 1 species
AAUAUGAAGCUCACGCUCGCGGUCGUCUGCGUGCUACUACGCAUCGCGCUUCAACGCGCGCGAGCGCAGGAAAAGGUGACAGAUGCCUCCGGCGAAGACGACGGUCCUGCGGCAAUCGAGAGCGCGAAUGAGGAAUUGGACUACAUGCGACUGUUCCGAAACACCGUGGCCGGUGGCUUCGCCAACAUGCCGGUGGCCCUGCGGAGGAGGCUCCUGAGCGCUGACGUCACGCCCGAGUGCAACGUGGGUCUGCUGCGUUUCAUGCGAGCCAUGCAGAAUCUCGAGCCAUGGGCCCUGAGACUUUUAGACGCUUCCGGGAAGUUCCCUUCAGGCCUACUGCAGGGUUCUCGCGUAGACCUCGGGGCCUUCGACGAGUGCCUCGAGACAGAGAUAUACGACACCUAUGGGGAUGUGCUCAUGCGUGGCCAGUACUGCAAUCUUCUGGUGUACAAUGAGAAUUCCACGGCAGUGGAAGGAAAUAUCCAGACCUUCGCAAGCGUUCUCCAUCCAAAACUCAAAUACUUUAGCAGUUACUUCUCCGUCGAAGAGCUUCCCGUUAUGCGCUUGGCGAUUUGCUCUGUAGACGAGUGCAACCAACGAGAUUUGCAAGCUUUAGUCGACGCAGUCAAGCCUCCGCUGGUACGCCUGGAAGUAUCAAAUUGCGUGUCAGCGCAAGUGGAACCAUGGACAAAUGCGCAAAUUGGUAUUAUGAUGUUUUUGUGCGUCCUUCUAGUCAUCAUUAUUGCCGCUACGUUGACAGACCGUUUAAUGAAGUUCAAGCCAAAACUCAUGGAAAAGUACGGUGCGCUUGGUGAUCUUGUGAAAGGUUUCUCCGCCACGUCAAACACGCGCAUGUUGCUCAAAGUCGCCGAGAAGUCAAACACUGACCAUAACGCCCUGCAGUUCCUGCACGGCAUGAGGUUCUUCUCCAUCGUCCACAUAGUGUUUUGCCAUUGCGGUCAAACGAUGUCCGACAACUGGUCACGUUACCUCAAUUUGCUCAUCGCCUCUGACGAAUGGUCAUUCAUGUUCAUAAGCGCUGGGUUUAGCAGCGUUGGAACGUUCUUUUUCCUCAGUGGAUUUUUCUUGUGCCUCACUGUCGGCAGGGAGAAGAGAGGAGGGCCCAUCGUUUUCAUCAUAGGCGUGAUACGACGACUUAUCAGAACUGCCAUUCCACUAUUCUUCAUCAUCAUGUGCUUAUACUUGAUGCCACGCUUCGUUUUCGGACCGGACACCAAGGCUUUUUUCCUCAAGCUACACAAGGAUGUCGCCAGUCACUGGUGGCACCUGCUUCUGAUGAUCAGGAAUUUCGUUGAGAUCAGUGCAUGGGAUAUGCUUCCGCACACGUGGUAUCUGUCCACGGAUUUCCAGCUCUUUACCACAUCUCUUGUGAUACUGCUAGUUUUCAAAAGUCGGAAAAUGCUGGCCGUGGGGGCAUUCAUUCUGUUAUCCUUCCUGGGCUGCGCCAUCGGAACAUGGGUAGUGGCCAGUUCUGACUUGCUGCCUUUCAUGGUCUUUCCCGGGCCAGUUCUACAAGUGAUGUCCAAAACUGUGAACGAAUACUACCUCCGGCCAUACUAUCACGCCGUGUGCUACUUCAGCGGGUGUUUGACAUACCUUGUUAUCGAAGACUUCAGGCAGCGAAAAAUUAGCAAGACCGUUCAGGCGACAGGCUGGUGCGUGUAUGUGAGCUGCGCCUUGCUCUGCAUUUUCAUGAAGCUCGCCUGGUACCGCAGCCCCGACCCCACGUCAGAGGCAGUAAAGCUGCUCGCGGCAUUUUUUGAUCGGAUCCUGUGGUCGGUGUCCCUCAUUUGGAUCACAUUGGCCUGCGCUUCUGGACGAGGUGGGCUUGUCAGCAAGUUCCUGUCGUGCAAUGUAUUCGUGCCGCUGAGCAAACUCUCAUUUGGUGUGUACCUGAUCCAUGUACCUUUCAUCGAACUUUACCUACAUGCCUCCAGGGAGCGCAUAUUCUGGUCAAAAUUUAAUAUGGUCACGCUAUUAUUCGCGAUUCUUGCGUGGAGCUACCUGCUGGCCUACUUGACUUUCCUCGCGUGUGAAGCUCCAACAGGUGCUCUGGACAAAUUCAUUUUCACCAGACUUAUCGGUGGAGGCGCAAAUUCGAGGAAGCGGCAUCCAACGCAGCAGAAUGCCAGCGAUGCGAAGCCCCAUAUAAAUGUAGACGACGGUGUGUCGUCCCGAUGUUAAUUCGGCAGCUAGCCGCGUGCUCUGUGUGUCAUCGUUCUUCCAUGCGGCGUCGAUUGUGGACCUUCAGAACGCUCAGCGGAAGCAUCUCGUGGCGAAAACGGUGCAACGGUGGCUGUGCUAUUGUGCGCAAGUGAAUGCCAUGAAGAUAUGGUGGUGUCGUUUGCAUUGGGGAAAGCUGG